rnacentral:tRNA from 1 species
GGGCUUGUGGUCUAGGGGUAUGAUAUUCGUUUCGCAUAUGAAAGGUCCCGGGUUCAAUUCCCGGCGGGUCCA